UACGGAGGGGGCAAGCGUUGUUCGGAAUUACUGGGCGUAAAGGGCGCGCAGGCGGCUGCUCAAGUCAGGCGUGAAAGGCCUGGGCUCAACCCGGGAAUUGCGCUUGAGACUGGGCUGGCUUGAGUGCGGGAGAGGAUGGUGGAAUUCCCAGUGUAGAGGUGAAAUUCGUAGAUAUUGGGAAGAACACCGGUGGCGAAGGCGGCCUGCUGGGCAGUAGCUGACACUGAGGCGCGACAGCAUGGGGAGCAAACAGG
rnacentral:rRNA from 1 species